rnacentral:lncRNA from 1 species
CACGAUAUUUCCCCAAUAUCCUCCAAAUUUCCCCAAUAUCCCCAAAACCCACGAUUUCUCCCAAAAUAUCCCCAAUAUUCUUUCCCCAAUAUUAUUUCCCCAAUCUCAUUUUCCCCCCAUCCUCCAAUCUCGUUUCCCACCAUCUAAUUUCCUUCAAUCUUGUUUCCCCCAAUCUCCUUCCCCAAAACUCACGACUUCCCCCAAUCUCUCCUCCUCCCAUCCACCUCACGAUCAUCUCAGGGUCAACCGGUCAAGCUCUCACGUUCCGACCACCGUCCAUCGAGAUUCAGUUAUUGUGCCACAGCCCACAGGACACCACCACCAUCGGAUUUCACUGCCUUCAGUUCGUCUCCACUCUCCAGAGUCCAGUCUCCGCUACUCUCUAGCCUUUAGGCUCUAGGUAUGUCCGUCUAUCUUGAAUUCUUGAUCCGUUUGUGUUUAACCUAGCUUGAUCCGGAAAAAAAUGUACCAUUUUAAAACAGGAUAAUGAACCAUUUUCAAAAAAUUGAAUUGAACUAUCAUCAACCUGAAAAAAUAUGAAUUUUCAUCAUUCCAUGUGAUUUUUUAAAAC